GUGUCAGCAGCCGCGGUAAGACAGAGGUGGCGAGCGUUGUUCGGAUUUAUUGGGCGUAAAGCGCACGCAGGCGGUUUGGUAAGUCAGGGGUGAAAGCCCACAGCUUAACUGUGGGACUGCCUUUGAUACUGCCUUUCUCGAGUGCAUGAGGGGGAAGCGGAAUUCCGAGUGUAGAGGUGAAAUUCGUAGAUAUUCGGAGGAACACCGGUGGCGAAGGCGGCUUCCUGGCAUGUAACUGACGCUCAGGUGCGAAAGCGUGGGUAGCAAACAGGAUUAGAUACCCCUGUAGUCC
rnacentral:rRNA from 1 species